GAUGUUCCACUGUGACAGCAAGGUAUGCCAUAUUUAUUCCUCUCAUACACUGAUUUAGGAAUGCUGGAACUUUGUAGCAUGACGCUACUGUCAAGGCUGCUGUGGUUCCUUGAAGACCUGCAGAGCAGAAAGUCAAGGCUGUUGACAUGGUAUCACAGUGUUGUACCCACAGAAACAUGGAUAGGUGAUAAAUGUGCUAAAUUCUACAUGCUGAUUUUUUUCUGUUGGAAUAGGAGCCUUUGCAUGCAGAAGCAGUCUAGUGAUGCAAUAGGACAGAGCAAAGAGGAAGAAACAGAAAAAGACUAGGCUUAAUCUGAGGGCUGACCAACCGCCUUAUUCAGUCCAAAGAUACGUAAGCUAUAUUCCUAAGUUCCUCAAGCUUUCCAGAAUGUUGAAACUUCUGAUUUUUGGGGUUAGAUGGGAUCUCACCGAAAUAGUGAUAUAUUUGACUAUGUGUGCAUUUUCUGGUGAGCACGUCCAACAUCACUGCAUUGAGCUGAAUGGAGCACUACAUCAGAGGCAGUGUCACCUGUGUGUUCCAAUUACUGUGUGGGCCACUUAUCCUCAAUGAAAGAAACCAAAGCCAGAGACAUCCAUGCAUGGAGAUCAACUUGUGGGAAGAGGUAGGAUGAAAUUUUUAUGGUAUAAUCUGUUUAAAUGCCUUAAAAUUUGGAAGCAGAUCUGUCUGCUUGUUCCUUCCUUCUGUGCUUUCGAUGUUUCUUCUCCAGCUUUUUGCAGUCUCUUCUGGAGGAGCUUGAAGAGUUUGAGGAUUACAUUCUUCUCUUUGCCCUUCAGACAGCUCUAGAUAUUUUCUCCAUCUGAACUGAGUCAUAUGCUACAUGAUAUGAAGACUGAGUAGGUGAAUGUCUGGAUUUUCCUGUCCUUUCAGCUGGAUUAUAUAAAUUAUGGUUCUUCACUGUUGGCUGACUUCCCUUUUCCUGCUGUGGUGUACUUUGACACAGCGCUAUUGCAUGUGCUUCAAGAGAAUUCAAUGGCUCUUCAGUAAGAAACUUGAUGCCUCACAGACCACCAGAGAUGGCUGUGCCAGAAGGAAGACAGUACAUGAAAAGUGGCCAAGUGGACUUCCUGGCUGGGGAUCGUGCAGCUGGCCAUCAGCCUGCUUUCAUAGAAACAGAAGGAGCAGAAACAUCCCCAGAGGACCAUUUGGGCAAACAAUGACAGAUGGAUCCAGGCAGUCCAGCUUCUCUCUUAAGCAAAGUCUGCUUGUAUUGGAACUAUUCAGAAAGCCACACCACGCUUUAAAGGAAACAAACAAAUAAAUCUACAGGAGAAAAAAGAACAAACCAAGACACCAAAUUAGCUGCCAAAGUACAAGCUUGCUGUUAUAACCAGCUGUUUAACAAUAAAGCUGCAGGAAACGUUUGUUCCCUUGCA